CACCUGUCAACAGGCUCCCAAAUACGGCUGCUUCUGCAGUUCUCAUAAGAAGUGAUGGCCGCAUGUUCAGGUGGGAGGAGGCAAGCUCAGGACACCAUGAGACGGAAGAACACGUGGGAUUUGGUGACAGGUGGAGCAGCAAGACAGAACUGCAGAAGUAGAAAAAACAACAUGCAUAUCGCACGGAUCCUAUUUAGACUGCUGGGCUCUUGGCUUUAAUGUUUAAUGACAAACAGAUGUGCAUGUAAACACAGACCAUUUCCAAAUGAUGUUAACCUAGCAACACUAGCACAAGGGAAGAGGCAGGAUGUGAAGAUCUUGAAGGAGGGAGCUCUGCUAGAGUUCUCACACACAACAGCAAGGCUAUCUCUUCACGGUGCUGAGUAUUUUCUUUGCUGUGCAUAAAUGUUUUAAUAUAAGAAUGUCCCAAUCAAAUUCCUAACAAGUAUGUUGUGGAUCCAGAUGAACUGAUUCUGAAGUUUGUAUGAAAAGAUAAAGGAUCAACAAUACUCAACAUAAUAUCAACACAGCAGAAACAAGGCAGAGGACAGACACAGGAGACGUCAAGACAAGUAUAAAAUUAUACAAUCAAGGCAAUGUGGUACUUGGUGAAAGAAGAAAUGAAUCAAUGAACCAGAAUAGAAAGCCAGUAAUGGACCCAGAGAUAUAUAGACAACCAAUCUUUGGUAAAGAAGUAGAUGUAAUAUAAUGUAGAAAAGAAAUGAUUUCAAUAAAUUACUCUUGAACAACUGGGAA